rnacentral:rRNA from 1 species
UACAGAGGGGGCAAGCGUUAUUCGGAAUUAUUGGGCGUAAAGGGCGCGUAGGCGGCGAUUCAAGUGGCGGGUGAAAUCCCUCGGCUUAACCGAGGAACUGCCUGCCAGACUGGAUUGCUUGAGUCCGGGAGAGGUGAGUGGAAUUCCCAGUGUAGCGGUGAAAUGCGUAGAUAUUGGGAGGAACACCAGUGGCGAAGGCGGCUCACUGGACCGGAACUGACGCUGAGGCGCGAAAGCUAGGGGAGCGAACAGG